GUAAUACAUCGGAACGUGCCCAGUAGUGGGGGAUAGCCCGGCGAAAGCCGGAUUAAUACCGCAUACGACCUACGGGUGAAAGCGGGGGGCCGAAAGGCCUCGCGCUAUUGGAGCGGCCGAUGGCUGAUUAGCUAGUUGGUGGGGUAAAGGCCUACCAAGGCUACGAUCAGUAGCUGGUCUGAGAGGACGACCAGCCACACUGGGACUGAGACACGGCCCAGACUCCUACGGGAGGCAGCAGUGGGGAAUUUUGGACAAUGGGCGAAAGCCUGAUCCAGCAAUGCCGCGUGUGCGAAGAAGGCCUUCGGGUUGUAAAGCACUUUUGUCAGGAAAGAAAUUGUCUGGGCUAAUACCCCGGGCCGUUGACGGUACCUGAAGAAUAAGCACCGGCUAACUACGUGCCAGCAGCCGCGGUAAUACGUAGGGUGCGAGCGUUAAUCGGAAUUACCGGGCGUAAAGCGUGCGCAGGCGGUUUGUUAAGACAGUUGUGAAAUCCCCGGGCUUAACCUGGGAACUGCAAUUGUGACUGGCAGGCUAGAGUUUGGCAGAGGGGGGUGGAAUUCCUGGUGUAGCAGUGAAAUGCGUAGAUAUCAGGAGGAACACCGAUGGCGAAGGCAGCCCCCUGGGCCAUGACUGACGCUCAUGCA
rnacentral:rRNA from 1 species